CAAUGUAAAUUGCACCACUUAGUUUAUCCUGGAAGUAGUACAAGAUAACACAUUCCUUAGUAUUCAUGUACCAUGACCAACAGGAAGCUCACGUAAUGCAAGUUACUUGUGGCUUCCUACUGGACAUGAUGUCAAAACAGAGGAAACAAAUCACGUGGAAGGAAAGCCCUUGCUUUUAGCUAUCCAUUAGUCCAAGGUACACCAAAAUUGAGUAAUGUGUCGCAGACUUACAAGACUUUUAACAGAACCAGAUCAAGAACAUGAUUGUGUGCACCUCAUACACAAUCAGCGCUCUAGUCCAGGAACAUUCUUGAAGUGAGAACACAGGGAAAUGAUGUCUACUUCUGAAUAAAAAAUCUGUCUGGCUAUUGAUAGCUGAAGUCUUUUCUUAGCUUUUCAAGGGGCCCCACAUACUUGACACAGACCAGAAUAUGCUGCUGACAAUGGUCACCUUCAUUUACAAUGUUUGUACUUUUAAGAGCAUGUUUUGUAGCUACUAGCUAAUAAUUAACUUGUGUUUUGUACAAUAUUGACAUCAUUUUUAACAUGUUUUAAUUCCUUUAGAAAAAAAAUAGCUACUUACCAGUUGCAGCCAUAUCUAUAGAGCAACUCUUUCUGUUCGAAAUAGAACCUUCCACACACCACAGAACAUAUCGUGGAAGUCAUGGUGGAGCUAACAAGAACGCUACUAUGGUGCCACUAUCUUUGUGGUGAUGAUAAUGCAAUCACAAAAUGGAUGCGCAAAAAAUAGCUGAUCAUGAGUAUGCUGUGCAAGUAGUAUCAUUACGUAGGUAAUUUGAAGUACAUCACAGCUAUAAUGUUUUCUAAGACACUCCUCCCAUAGAAAUACCCGUAACCAUGGUUAGAAGUAUGCCAAGUAAACAGGAAUUGAUUUGUGUGAAACCACACCCAUUUUUUCAAUAUUUCAUUGCAAUUCAGUGUGUUCCAACUACAGGGAUUUGAGGAGUUCUUGCAACUGUAAUGUCGAGAGCGGAAGUACCUGUCACGUGAACAGUUACAUAAUUAUGGCUCAUUUCAAACCAAUUUUUCUCCAAUAAAGCCUUUAGGCAUGUUUAUUUUGGGAAAAAAAUCGACCUAUACAGGAGGCUUUGCUCUGCAUAUAAUUAUCUGCAAGCCUUUGCACCACAGCUAAAGCUAUCCUUGAGCCCAAUCGUGAGCUACUACUAUUAGUCUGUCACACAAACUGUGUAUCCAGCUGGAGCUAGCCUAAGAGAGAUUUUACUGAGACUAGUGCUACACUUUCAACAGCUUACGGGCAGGCUGGGGCAAGUAGUAGCUCACAAAACAAUUAGAAUCUCAAGGAUAGCUUCAGCUGACAAUCUGCUGUGGUGCAAAGCCUUUACCAAAGGCUCUUAGCUUUCUGAUGUAAGUCAAUGUUUUCCCAGUUUAACAAAAAUGAAUAGGCUCUAUUGGAGAAAAAUUGGUUUGGAAUGAGCCAAAAUUCAAUCUUGUUACCAAGGUUCACGUGACAGGUACUUCCGCUCUCGACAUUACAGUUGCAAGAACUCCUCAAAUCCCUGUAAGUGGCAUGCUUGAAACAGCGGUGAAUGGUAAGCUAAUUGCCGAGCGGGAAGCGAGGCGAAUAAUCGUACUACCUGAUUCUGGCCCAUGCUUUUUUCUGACUGUUGUAGCUAACAAAAAACUAGCGCUUUAGUGCAAGGCUAACUCAUUACUUGAAAAGAAACUUUGUGCGAACAGAUGAUGCUACGAAAGAUUCUAAAGAGACUGCAACAGCCUUCAAUGUUUGUCAAACUAGCCAUAACUCGAGAAAGAAGCUUUAGUUUGCUAAUCCACGAAUCAAAAUCUAAGAGAACGUGGCUAGAAGCCUAUAAAAACUGUUAGUUUUUGUCGCAUUGCAACCGUUGAGCAGUUACAG